UACCAAUAUAAAAUUUCCUUCCCGAUGCAAAAGGUUAACUACAAAUCUAGCACUUUAAAUUGUUUCUCAUUCAAUUCCAGAACAAACACAAUUGGUAGUCAUUUAGUAAUAGUGAAAAAUACAAACAUUCUUACUAGUUAGGGGGAGAGGAUAGACGAUAGAGGGAGAAAUAGCCGGUUUUGAAAUAACCAGCCUUUUCUUUCUAACACAAAGCUUGAUCUAUUUUUAGAUUUGAGCUCGGAUUGCUUCCCCGCUUAGAGCUCCCCCUUCCUUUUGUGCAUUGCUUCUCUACUUAGAGCUCGCUUUCUUCUUUGCUCCCCCAUCCUUUUGGGCAUUGCUUCCCUGCUUAGAGCUCGCUUUCUUCUUUCCCCACUUAGAGCUUGCUUUCUUCUUUCCCUUCUUAAAGCUGGCUUUUUUCUUCGGUGGACUGAAGUCCUGCACAUGAACAUGAUGGAUAAAUACUUGUAAUUCCAAAUAAAAAAGGUCGUACCCAGUGCACAAGGCUCCCGCUUUACGCAGGGUCUGGGAGAGGUGAAUGUCGGCUAGCCUUACCCCCAUUUAUGGAGAGGCUGCUCCCAAGUCUCGAACCCGAACUUGUAAUUCCAAAUAAGAAAAAAAAAAAAAAAAAAAAAAAUCAAAACAAUCUGCCGUUCAUGUAGUAAGAAUAGGAUCCCCUUCAUGUAUAAAAGAGUAUAAAUUGCAUUCAAAUCUAUAAUGUUAUUAGAUUUAAAAAAAAAAGUCUUUCAAAUGUAGGUAAACUUGGAGCCGUAGAUUAUUAUCAGCGAAACAAAAUUCACAGAAUGAACAUUUGUUGUCUAGGAUUGGCUUGGAUGGGAUAACUCACUACAUUCAAUGAACGUUGAAUGGAAAAAUGGAUGUCUACUUGCAUUUUUUGUCAAGGUAGAAGAUGGAUUAGUUGUGAAGAAAACUAAUGCCUCCUAAUCCCCACGAAAGUAGGAUUGGGAGAGAGAAAUUUUCUUCAUGGCUAAUCCAUCUAACCAUCCAAAGCUAGACAACAAACGAGGCCUAAAGGUACUCAUCAACGAAUUAAUGUUUGGAGAAAAUGAUACACUAAACCCCAUCUUACUGUUUGAAUACAUAUAUAUAUUUCUUAGUUAACUUGCAAUCAAAGUUGUUCUCUAAUACAUCAAAAUAUUCCUCCUAAAUAACCUACUUUAAAGAUCAUAGCACAAAAAGGAGUAGAUUUUAUAAUGUGUAAGUAUCAAAAGGCAAUCAUAAAAUCAAAUAACUAGAUAAAACCGUGAAGCAUCUGUUCAUCAUUUUCUCAUGUCGACAUACAAUAUAUUAGGAUUCUAGGCUCUGAAACCCACAAUUCAGGUAGAUGUAUGCACGAUAGUUAUUAGGAAAUAAAAAAACAUGAACUAAAAAUAAUUAAAGUAGCUCAAACUCCCCGGUGAGUAGAUGGAAGCUUCUCUAGCUAUAGCAAAAUGAACAUACCGCAUCAUCCCAUUAUAGGUUCCAAAUUCUAGUCCUGUUGCAAGACAGACGAAGCACUACAAGAGACAUAAAUUGAAAAGUAUCAGUCCUAAAGGUUUGUUUAGGUUUCAACUAGUUUUUCUUUAUCUUCAAGACUUGCUAGCUUUACUUAAUUCAAUUCUAUCAUAAUCAGUACUAUAUAUAGUAGCAUGUCUUCGAGCAUGCUAAAAGCCAAACGAUCUAAGAAAUAUAGUUACAAGUGAACCAAAUAUUCAGAUUAAAAACAAGGAAAAAAGAAAAAGUUAAAGCAAAUUUCAGGGAAGUUGAUCAAACAUUUUUAAUUACCAACUUCCCUGCUAGCAAUUCUGUAAAAAGGCUCAGAAAUAUAGUAGACCCAUGGCAGAUCUAGGAUUUUCCUCAAUUUAAGUUCAUGAUUAUAAAAAGGCAACAUGAAACCUACAAACAGGGAUCAUUAUUAAGUGUACACAAAUGGUAAAUUAUAAACCUAUUUAUACGUUAAAACGGUUAGGGAACAAGAAGUUUCCGUUCCCAACGAGCUAUUUUUCCAAAACCGUAAAAAAUCUUGUGUCGCUUAUUGGCAACACCUAUCCAAUAUCAAUUAAGCUCCUCAAAUUUGACGGUUAAAGUACUUCAACACGUGCAGCUAUUUGGAAAACGACAUUCCUUAGAUACAUCUUAAAAAUGUUAUGAAAAGAUUGAACUGAAUGGUCAACAACCAUGCACCAAACUUUACGACAUUCCUUAGAUUCAUCUAAAGAAAAGGACAUUCCUUAGAUUCAUCUAAGGAAAAGGAUAUUCCUUUUUUUUUUUUUAUCUAACACGAUGGCCUGAUUCCAUUUAUGACUAUUUGGCAGGAGCGGUGCUACCACUAGCCACAAGCCAGAGCAAGGGGCCGGCGACUGAGAGACUUGCAGAUCUAGGGUGUGGGUUUAGUACCGGGUCUGGGGAGAGAGAAAACGGCUUGAUUCAUAUGUUUUCGAUACAUAAAAUAUAAUAGGAAAAAGACAUUCCUUAGAUUCAUGUAAAACGCAUUACGACAAAGCUGAACUGAAUGUUCAACGAACAUGCAAUUCAACACGUGAAGCUAUUUGAAUUUUUUUUACUUUAGAUUCAUCAAAAACAUGUCACGAGGAAGCCGAACAGGAUGUUCAGCGACCUUGUAUCACGUACUGCUAAAUAUAUCUUUUCAACAUUAACCGAUCCCAAAAGAUCUUGUAUGAUCUGAGCACAUAUCUGAUCACUAGUAUCUGUGCAAGUCCACGAGUCCUAUCCUUUGAACACUACAAGAAUGAGCAACUCAAUCUCAGCUUAUAUAACCUAAUCCGAAUCAAUGGGCAAGGAGAUGCUUAUGCUGCAUGGUAUCAACUAUCUACACCAAGAAGUUUCCCGAACAAAGCAUGGUACUUAUGCUUUAUCGAAAUAAAGAUCAAAACAAUUCCAUGCAGUUAAAAUAAUCAAAAUUUUUAUCAUCCAAGCCAAUUAAACAAUUUAAAACACUGGAAAACCUUUCUCUAGUAAAGAACAAUGAAAACUUCAGAUCUGCACUUCGAACUAUCAAAACAGCUGUCAGGUAAUCAAGUGAAAGUCUUUAUUAUUUCGUAGGAUAUUUUUCCAUGCCUUACCCAAUCAACAUAAAAAAACACUCACAAUAACAUCACUAAAUUAAAAAAACAUAACCAUAAAAAAAAAAAUCAAAUUCCAACCCAAAUCUUCAAAUUUAAAAAGAUGAUAAAAAGAGUAGAGAAUUUGGAGGACCUCGACCUCGGUCCCGUCGUUCUCAACCUUCUUCCGCAUCACCCAGCCCUCAGAAUCGCAUAACUUCUGGGCGGUGCCAUUGGUCAGGAUAAGACCAACUCAACAAACUUCACACUCUGUGCAGCUCGACAACAACAAAAAGAGGGGCGUUUUAUCCUUUAGGAUUUGAUACGAACAAGGUGGCAAACAUGGUAAGCGAGGCCAGAAAGGGAGAGAGCUCGGUUGGCAAACAGGUGGCGCCAUGUUUUGGCGAGGAUGUGAGAGAAGGUAACGUAACAAAGAUGAUGAGGAAGAAUCUUAUCUGGGUUUUAGCUGGUUCUUGAAAGAGAGAGAGGGAGCUGCGUGUUUUCUGUGAGGGGUGGAGAGAGAGACACAGAGCGAGCCAAAGUUAGGUUUUAUGGGAAAAGCAGCCGUUACUGGUUUAAUUUUGACUGUGUGGAAACUAUUGUGUUAAACGGGCCAGGCCUAGAUGGUUGGGCCAUUAGAAGAGUCUAGACUAACAAAUAUCCUUCAAAUAAAUCUGAGAAAUUGUUUGAAAUUAUGAACAUGCAAAUCUAAAUUGUAGAAAUGAUCGCUU
rnacentral:lncRNA from 1 species